rnacentral:rRNA from 1 species
AUUGAACGCUGGCGGCAUGCUUUACACAUGCAAGUCGAACGGCAGCGGGGAGGAGCUUGCUUCUCUGCCGGCGAGUGGCGAACGGGUGAGUAAUACAUCGGAACGUGUCGAGAAGAGGGGGAUAACCACCCGAAAGGGUGGCUAAUACCGCAUAAAUUCUGAGGAAGAAAGCUGGGGGCCUGGGAAUAGGCCUAGCGCUUUUUGAGCGGCCGAUGUCGGAUUAGCUAGUUGGUGAGGUAAAGGCUCACCAAGGCGAAGAUCUGUAGCGGGUCUGAGAGGAUGAUCCGCCACACUGGGACUGAGACACGGCCCAGACUCCUACGGGAGGCAGCAGUGGGGAAUUUUGGACAAUGGGGGCAACCCUGAUCCAGCCAUGCCGCGUGUAUGAAGAAGGCCUUAGGGUUGUAAAGUACUUUUGUUAGGGAAGAAAAGUCAGCUGUGAAUAAUGGCUGAUACUGACGGUACCUAAAGAAUAAGCACCGGCUAACUACGUG